rnacentral:lncRNA from 1 species
UUGGCACUAUUGAAGUUCGAUUGGUGCUGUUGAAGGUUGAUGGCUGGAGAAGUAUGAAAGAUACCAGAGACAGUCGGUCACUGUAGAAAUCCGACUACUGGAGCCCGUCCGUUGUAGAAGUUUAUAUGGAAUCCAAUUCUGUUGUAGAAGUUCGGAUGGAGUCCGAUUCUUGUAGGAGCCUGAAAGGAGGCCGCUUACUGUAGAAGCUC